GAAGCAGCCACCCUUUAAAGAAAGCGUAAUAGCUCACUAGUCGAGUCGGCCUGCGCGGAAGAUGUAACGGGGCUAAAACUAUGUGCCGAAGCUGCGGAUGUAUACUUUGUAUACGUGGUAGGGGAGCGUUCUGUAAGCCGAUGAAGGUGUGUUGAGAAGCNNNNNNNNNNNNNNNNNNNNNNNNNNNNNNNNNNNNAUGCUGGAGGUAUCAGAAGUGCGAAUGCUGACGUGAGUAACGACAAAACGGGUGAAAAACCCGUUCGCCGAAAGACCAAGGGUUCCAGUCCAACGUUAAUCGGGGCUGGGUGAGUCGACCCCUAAGGCGAGGCCGAAAGGCGUAGUCGAUGGGAAAAUGGUUAAUAUUCCAUUACUUCUGUGUAAUGCGAUGAGAGGACGGAGAAGGCUAAAUCAGCCUGGCGUUGGUUGUCCAGGUGAAAGGAUGUAGGCAUGUAUCUUAGGCAAAUCCGGGGUACUCUAUGCUGAGAUCUGAUAGCAAGCUGUACUUGUACAGCGAAGUGGUUGAUGCCAUGCUUCCAGGAAAAGUCUCUAAGCUUCAGUUACACAGGAAUCGUACCCGAAACCGACACAGGUGGUCAGGUCGAGUAGACCAAGGCGCUUGAGAGAACUCUGCUGAAGGAACUAGGCAAAAUGGUACCGUAACUUCGGGAGAAGGUACGCUGUUGUUGGUGAUGGAACUCGCUUCCUGAGCUGACGACAGCCGCAGAAACCAGGCCGCUGCAACUGUUUAUUAAAAACAUAGCACUCUGCAAACACGAAAGUGGACGUAUAGGGUGUGAUGCCUGCCCGGUGCUGGAAGGUUAAUUGAUGGGGUUAGCGUAAGCGAAGCUCUUGAUCGAAGCCCCAGUAAACGGCGGCCGUAACUAUAACGGUCCUAAGGUAGCGAAAUUCCUUGUCGGGUAAGUUCCGACCUGCACGAAUGGCAUAAUGAUGGCGGCGCUGUCUCCAGCAGAGGCUCAGUGAAAUCGAAAUCGCUGUGAAGAUGCAGUGUACCCGCGGCUAGACGGAAAGACCCCGUGAACCUUUACUGCAGCUUGACACUGAACUUUGACCUUACUUGUGUAGGAUAGGUGGGAGGCUUUGAAGCUGGAACGCUAGUUCCAGUGGAGCCGUCCUUGAAAUACCACCCUGGUAAUGUUGAGGUUCUAACUCUGUCCCGUGAUCCGGGACGAGGACCGUGUCUGGUGGGUAGUUUGACUGGGGCGGUCUCCUCCUAAAGAGUAACGGAGGAGUACGAAGGUGCGCUCAGCGUGGUCGGAAAUCACGCGUAGAGUAUAAAGGCAAAAGCGCGCUUAACUGCGAGACCCACAAGUCGAGCAGGUACGAAAGUAGGUCUUAGUGAUCCGGUGGUUCUGUAUGGAAGGGCCAUCGCUCAACGGAUAAAAGGUACUCUGGGGAUAACAGGCUGAUACCGCCCAAGAGUUCAUAUCGACGGCGGUGUUUGGCACCUCGAUGUCGGCUCAUCUCAUCCUGGGGCUGAAGCAGGUCCCAAGGGUAUGGCUGUUCGCCAUUUAAAGAGGUACGCGAGCUGGGUUUAGAACGUCGUGAGACAGUUCGGUCCCUAUCUACCGUGGGCGCUGGAAAUUUGAGAGGAUCUGCUCCUAGUACGAGAGGACCAGAGUGGACGAACCUCUGGUGUACCGGUUGUGACGCCAGUCGCAUCGCCGGGUAGCUAUGUUCGGAAGGGAUAACCGCUGAAAGCAUCUAAGCGGGAAGCCUACCUCAAGAUAAGAUUUCCCUAGGACUUUAUGUCCUCUAAAGAGCCGUUCGAGACUAGGACGUUGAUAGGUUGGAUGUGGAAGCAUAGUGAUAUGUGAAGCUGACCAAUACUAAUUGCUCGUGAGGCUUGACUAUACAACACCCAAGCAGUUG
rnacentral:rRNA from 1 species